UACAGAGGUCUCAAGCGUUGUUCGGAUUCAUUGGGCGUAAAGGGUGCGUAGGUGGCAUGGUAAGUCGGAUGUGAAAUCCCGGGGCUCAACCCCGGAACUGCAUUCGAUACUGCUGCGCUAGAGUACUGGAGAGGAGAUUGGAAUUUACGGUGUAGCAGUGAGAUGCGUAGAUAUCGUAAGGAAGACCAGUGGCGAAGGCGGAUCUCUGGACAGUUACUGACACUGAGGCACGAAGGCCAGGGGAGCAAACGGG
rnacentral:rRNA from 1 species